CUAAUAUGGUCUUUAAACGUCACAUGUAUAGGUUCUGAUUCAUGGGUGAUACUAUCAGAUAAUAAAGGUCGUCCAUCUAUUAUUUCUACGUGAACGGUGUCGUAAUGUAAGAAGUCUUGCUUGAAAAUGCUCCGGACACGUGGCUGUAGAAGGAAGAAUAGAAAUUACGAUAACAAAAUCUUAAUUCUAAUAGAAUACUAACAAUGCUCUAAUUAGACUACAAUAAUGGUAAAUAAACGUAAUCAAAUUCAAAACAACUCAAAGAAAUUUCAAACAAACAAUAAAAUUCUUAAAGAAAUAUUAGAAUGAUCACAAAUAUUACUCAAAUAUAUGUCAAUUCAACCUUAAUUUAAUUCUAGUGAAAAUCCUAUUGAAUUUCACUCAAACUUUAGACUAAACCUAAUUAAAUCUUAAACCCUAAUAAAUCCUAAAUCCUAAGUCAAAUCCUAAACAAACCUUAAAUUAAAUCCUAAAUCAAACCCUAUUUCAAAUCCUAAACCCUAAACCAAAUCCUAAAUCAAAUCCUAAAUCAAACCCUAAAUCCUAAUCCAAACUCUAAUCCAAUCCUAAACCCUCAUCCAAAUCCUAAAUCCUAAACCAAACCUUAAAUCAAACCCUAGUCCAAACCCUAAAUCAAACCCUAGUCCAAACCCUAAAUCAAAUCCUAAUCAAAUCCUAAACCCUAAUCCAAACCCUAAUCCAACCCUAAAUCCUAACCAAAUUCUUAAUCCUAAUCCUAAUCAAACCCUAAUCAAAUCCUAAAUCCUAAUCCAAAUCCUAAUCCAAACCCUAAUUCAAAUCCUAAAUCAAAUCCUAACCAAACCCUAAUCCAAAUCCUAAUCCAAACCCUAAAUCAAACCCUAAC
rnacentral:lncRNA from 1 species